rnacentral:misc_RNA from 1 species
GAUGAAGAACGUAGUGAAAUGCGAUAAGUAAUGUGAAUUGCAGAAUUCAGUGAAUCAUCGAAUCUUUGAACGCACCUUGCGCUCCUUGGUAUUCCGAGGAGCAUGCCUGUUUGAGUGUCAUUAAUUUCUCAACCUCACCAGCUUUUGCUGAGUGCAGGCUUGGAUGUGGGGGUUGCAGGUCCGCUAACGUGGUCUGCUCCUCUGAAAUGUAUUAGUGGGUUGGGCCCCUAAUCUAUUGGUGUGAUAAUUAUCUACGCCGUGGAUUUGGGUGGCUGACUUAGACCCGCUUCUAACCGUCCUUCACCGGACAACUCUUGACAAUUUUGACCUCAAAUCAGGUAAGACUACCCGCUGAACUUAAGCAUAUCAAUAAGCGGAGGA